GAAAAUGAGAGUUUGAUCCUGGCUCAGGACGAACGCUGGCGGCGUGCCUAAUACAUGCAAGUCGAGCGAGCUUGCCUAGAUGAAUUUGGUGCUUGCACCAAAUGAAACUAGAUACAAGCGAGCGGCGGACGGGUGAGUAACACGUGGGUAACCUGCCCAAGAGACUGGGAUAACACCUGGAAACAGAUGCUAAUACCGGAUAACAACAGUAGACGCAUGUCUAGAGUUUAAAAGAUGGUUCUGCUAUCACUCUUGGAUGGACCUGCGGUGCAUUAGCUAGUUGGUAAGGCAACGGCUUACCAAGGCAAUGAUGCAUAGCCGAGUUGAGAGACUGAUCGGCCACAUUGGGACUGAGACACGGCCCAAACUCCUACGGGAGGCAGCAGUAGGGAAUCUUCCACAAUGGAC
rnacentral:rRNA from 1 species